GAAAACAUUGACGAGGGUUGAUGGGGAAAAACGAAAACCAGUUCUUCUGCAGUGAGCAAAAAUGUAACAGUAUGUGUCGUAGUGUAGUAUGUCUGUGUAUUAUAUGUAUUGUGAACUACGAGAACAUUUUCUAAAAUACCUACAUACAAAAAAAACCCUGACGAUUAUACCCUAUCGGUUGUUAGGUAUAGACGUCGACCGGGUAUAGAAUUAGGAGAACAAUACAUUUUUUUUGGGUGGGCAAAAAUACACGUAAAAAAUCAAUGCUAUGCUGCUAUUUUCAAUUCAAUCACAGCAUUGAAGGUUGCAUACGAGUGGAACCUUAAAAUUGGCCUGUAAAGUGUACCCUUAAGUAGAUAAAUAUAAUAUUACGAUUAGUAUCUAUUAGAGAUGAAAAAAUUCUAGGUACCUAAUCAAAAAGAUAACUCGAAGGAAGAUUAUUAUAGAUUAAUAAAUUCCAUCUAUUGAUUGAAUAUUUCUCGACACUUAAUAUUGAAAUCAUUAUGUGGCUAUACCUAAUUGAGGUAAUUUCAACAUUUUUUAAAAAAAAUUUCAGGAAGCAAUAUACAAAAUGUUUGAAAUUUUCAAAAUUUUUAUUUUAUUUCUCAAUAUAAUUUUAAGUAAUUGCGCUCCUAUUUUGGAUCAAUGGGGCCGUAAGAUUACAGAAUCCAAUACCGGCAGUACCUCUUCAGAUCUAAUGGUUCAGAUACCAUUAAAACUUCUACUUGAAAAGGAAGCGAAAAUAACGGAUCUUAAAAAAGAGUUGUUAAUUGCGAAUAAAAAAAUUGACCAUGUAAUUAUUCCACUGUGCGUUCGACAUAUGGCAACGAUGAUUGAAGACGAGUGUCCAGUAGCCAAAAGCAAUGUUGAAAUACCAAAGGAUACCCCUUUUAUAGCUACACAAGACUUCACUACGAACGAUAUUUCGCGCACUUACCGUUUUUUAUAUAUAAUAAACAACUACCAAGAUAAAAAUAUGUACGUGAAAACGUUAUACCAGGCACUGGAAAAGGAUUUCAUGACAUCUAACCAGCUGACAAAAAUUGAUGGUAUGUGGAUCUCAAAAUUUCAAACUUAUAAGCUUGACUUCUGCAAAUCUAUUGUAGUUGCAAUCUUGCACGGUAAUAAAUUGGUGGCUCAUAAAGUGAAUACUGGUAUAAUGAAAGAAGCGUUAUCCGUAUAUUCUCCCCCUGUUGAUAGAUUUAUAACUGUUUUCUAUAAUGCUCUACUGGCACAUUUAUCAUGAUUAAAUUUUCUCAAUAGAUUAUGUUAA